GGUCAGUCUCAGUGCAUGAUUUUAUAGCACUGUUACCAAGAGUGCUAUAUCAAGUUUUCAAUAGAAUGAAAUUGUCACUCUUAGUGCAUAGUUUCAUUGCACUCAUAGAUAGCUAGCAUCAAUUAAUUCUUGCAUUGUGUUAUGAUGGAAUGUGUCAUGCCAUGAAACCAUAACAUGCUCAGUGCAAGUUUCAUUGGGUUUCAUGGGACUUGAUAACUGUGCCAGUUGGGUUUCAUAGUGAUGAAACUCUCUUCUUCUCGCUCCUCGUAAUUAGUCUGCCAAGUUAGCAGUUUUGCUGAUGUGGCAUGAAAUUUAAUGCCCAUAAAAUCCCAUGACACUCCCAUUGAAGCUGCCCUAUCUACAUUCUAACCUCUUAACCUCUUUGUGGAUCAUGAUGUCAUGAAUUCACAAAUUCAGAUAACUGAGGCCCCGUUUGGAUACACAAUGCUAAAGUUUAGCACUGCACUUUUUGCAUACUUUUAGUACUUGAGCAUCCAAACAUGUGUACUAAAAGUGCAGUGCUAAAUUUUAGCACCCCCAUUUUCUUUAACACACCCAAGGGGUGCUAAUAGUGCUAAAAGUGAUCCCCUCUCCAAUUUUUUCCCAUUGCCCUCCCCUUUCUCCUCCCUCUCUCCUCUCCCCACUGCACCCCCGCCGCUCUUCCGGUCGACUGCCGCCGCCUACCUCACCCUCACCUCCGCUGCACUCGCCCUCGCCUCCGCCGCCACCUACCUCGCCGUCGACCGCCGCGUCAGCGCGCUUGCGGGGCUGCUCUUCCUCGCCGCCUGGGCCGCCAGUCGCGCCCUUGCGGCCUGCCUCGGCUUCGCGGCCUCCUGGAGCACGCCUCUCCCACCGAGACCCUCACCCGCCGCCUCUGAGCGUUGUGGCGUUCCUCGCACCGCCCUCGACGCCGCCGGAGGCCUCGACCCUGCGCGCCCUCCGCUUCGUCAUGGCCCAUGGUGCUGGACGCGCCCCUUGCCGCCGGUGACGCCACGACGGCCGCGGCGGCGGUUGCCCCUGCCGACGAUGAGAAUAAGAAGGAAGGCGAAGGGGGAGACAAGAUGCCGGGCCACAUCAUCUCCACCACCAUCGGUGGGAAGAACGAUGAGACAGUAGCGCAGCAGACUUGGCGAAAAAAAAACUAGCGCAGGGAAAAGGCAGUGCGCCAGGAGGGAAGGAGGGACACUAUUGUCAUUUGCCAUCAAAGGAGGGAAGGAGGGACACUAUUGUCAUUUGCCAUCAAAGGUGCUAAAGUUUAGCACAUCA